rnacentral:rRNA from 1 species
UUUCCGCCAGAGAACUACAAGUGAAAAACUUGAAACUCAAAGGACUUGACGGUGUCCCACAUCGGCCUAGAGGAGCCUGUCCUAUAAUCGAUACUCCCCGCUCCACCCAACCCCAACUAGCAUGUGUCAGCCUAUAUACCGCCGUCGAUCAGCCUACCCUGUGAAGGUCCAACAGUAGACACAACAGCCCCUUCGCUAAUACGUCAGGUCAAGGUGUAGCAAAUGUUGGGGAAGAGAUUGGCUACAUUUUUUAUAAUAAAAAAUACGAAAAACACUAUGAAACCGUGCAUGAAGGUGAAUUUAGUAGUAAAAUAAAUAAGAGACUUUAUUUUAAUAGCGCUCUGGGACGCGUACACACCGCCC